AUGGUUUUUGUUGUGCAAACACGUUUAAUUAUCAAGAAGUUAAUUUUCCAUGAAUGCAUUUUCAGAUUUCUGCAAUUUACUACACAUCAACGUCCCUUCUCCAAUAUGACUCUCCACCCCAUGAACCGUUUUUAUGAAGAGGCACACAACCAAUCAAAAGGUUUGUGCAUGAAAACCCAAUAUCUACUGUCCACUGUUCCCAAGAGAUUUCUGCAAUAUGCUACAUAUGUGAAACUUCCUCCUUCAGUAUUGGAUUCUCCACUCCAUGAACUGUUUUUAUGGAGAGGCACACAACCAAUACAACGAUUUCUGCAAUAGCUACAGUUGAAACUUCUUCCGUAUCCAUUAAAUGAUUCUCCACUCUAUGAACCCUUUUUAUGAAGAACACAACUGAAAAAAGGUAGGAUCUAUUAUCCU
rnacentral:lncRNA from 1 species